rnacentral:rRNA from 1 species
CUGCAACUCGCCUGCAUGAAGUUGGAAUUGCUAGUAAUCGCGAAUCAGAAUGUCGCGGUGAAUACGUUCCCGGGCCUUGUACACACCGCCCGUCACACCAUGAGAGUCGAUAACACCCGAAGCCUGUGAGCUAACCGUAAGGAGGCAGCAGUCGAAGGUGGGGUUGAUGAUUGGGGUGAAGUCGUAACAAGGUAAC